UACGAAGGGGGCUAGCGUUGUUCGGAAUUACUGGGCGUAAAGCGCACGUAGGCGGAUAUUUAAGUCAGGGGUGAAAUCCCCGGGGCUCAACCCCCGGAACUGCCUUUGAUACUGGAUAUCUUGAGUUCGGAAGAGGCAAGUGGAAUUGCGAGUGUAGAGGUGAAAUUCGUAGAUAUUCGCAGGAACACCAGUGGCGAAGGCGGCUUACUGGUCCGAUACUGACGCUGAGGUGCGAAAGCGUGGGAGCAAACAGG
rnacentral:rRNA from 1 species